rnacentral:rRNA from 1 species
GCUCACACCGGUUUAAACUCAGAUCAUGUAAAAUUUUAAAGGUCGAACAGACCUAUCUUAUUAGCUUUUGCACCAAUAAUUAAUUUUAAUCCAACAUCGAGGUCGCAAACUACCUUUUUGAUAAGAACUCUAAAAGUAAUAACGCUGUUAUCCCUAAGGUAAUUUAAUCUUUUAAUCUAAAACUUAGGAUCAUAAAUUUACAAACUAAUAUUCCAAUUAAAAAAAAGUUGAUUAAGUUUUUUUAUCGCCCCAACAAAAUAUAUUUUCUAAAACUAAAAAAUUAAUUUCCUAAUAUCUUACAUUUUUUAAAUAUAUAAAACUCUAUAGGGUCUUCUCGUCUUCCAUGAAAAUUUAAGCUUUUUAACUUAAAAAUAAAAUUUUAAUAAAUUUUAAUAGAGACAGUCAUUUUUUCAUCAAACCCUUCAUUCAAGCUCUCAAUUAAAAAACUAAUGAUUAUGCUACCUUUGCACGGUCAGAAUACCGCGGCCAUUUAAUUUCUCAGUGGGCAGGUCAGACUUGAAAUCAACUUC